rnacentral:rRNA from 1 species
GACGAACGCUGGCGGCGUGCCUAAUACAUGCAAGUAGAACGCUGAAGAGAGGAGCUUGCUCUUCUUGGAUGAGUUGCGAACGGGUGAGUAACGCGUAGGUAACCUGCCUUGUAGCGGGGGAUAACUAUUGGAAACGAUAGCUAAUACCGCAUAACAAUGGAUGACACAUGUCAUUUAUUUGAAAGGGGCAAUUGCUCCACUACAAGAUGGACCUGCGUUGUAUUAGCUAGUAGGUGAGGUAACGGCUCACCUAGGCGACGAUACAUAGCCGACCUGAAAGGGUGAUCGGCCACACUGGGACUGAGACACGGCCCAGACUCCUACGGGAGGCAGCAGUAGGGAAUCUUCGGCAAUGGGGGCAACCCUGACCGAGCAACGCCGCGUGAGUGAAGAAGGUUUUCGGAUCGUAAAGCUCUGUUGUAAGUCAAGAACGAGUGUGAGAGUGGAAAGUUCACACUGUGACGGUAGCUUACCAGAAAGGGACGGCUAACUACGUGCCAGCAGCCGCGGUAAUACGUAGGUCCCGAGCGUUGUCCGGAUUUAUUGGGCGUAAAGCGAGCGCAGGCGGUUUGAUAAGUCUGAAGUUAAAGGCUGUGGCUCAACCAUAGUUCGCUUUGGAAACUGUCAAACUUGAGUGCAGAAGGGGAGAGUGGAAUUCCAUGUGUAGCGGUGAAAUGCGUAGAUAUAUGGAGGAACACCGGUGGCGAAAGCGGCUCUCUGGUCUGUAACUGACGCUGAGGCUCGAAAGCGUGGGGAGCGAACAGG